UGCGGGAUGGUGUAAUGGUAGCACAGCGGACUCUGAAUCCGUUAAUUGGGGUUCGAAUCCCUGUCCCGCAG
rnacentral:tRNA from 1 species